UACGUAGGGGGCAAGCGUUGUCCGGAAUCAUUGGGCGUAAAGAGCGUGUAGGCGGCCAGAUAAGUCCGCUGUGAAAUCUCGAGGCUCAACUUCGAGCUGUCGGUGGAAACUGUCUGGCUAGAGUCCGGAAGAGGAGAAUGGAAUUCCUGGUGUAGCGGUGAAAUGCGCAGAUAUCAGGAAGAACACCCGUGGCGAAGGCGGUUCUCUGGGCCGCAACUGACGCUGAGGAGCGAAAGCAUGGGGAGCGAACAGG
rnacentral:rRNA from 1 species